UGGGGAAUUUUGGACAAUGGGCGAAAGCCUGAUCCAGCAAUGCCGCGUGUGUGAAGAAGGCCUUCGGGUUGUAAAGCACUUUUGUCCGGAAAGAAAUCCUUGGCUCUAAUACAGUCGGGGGAUGACGGUACCGGAAGAAUAAGCACCGGCUAACUACGUGCCAGCAGCCGCGGUAAUACGUAGGGUGCAAGCGUUAAUCGGAAUUACUGGGCGUAAAGCGUGCGCAGGCGGUUUGCUAAGACCGAUGUGAAAUCCCCGGGCUCAACCUGGGGAACUGCAUUGGUGACUGGCAGGCUAGAGUAUGGCAGAGGGGGGUAGAAUUCCACGUGUAGCAGUGAAAUGCGUAGAGAUGUGGAGGAAUACCGAUGGCGAAGGCAGCCCCCUGGGCCAAUACUGACGCUCAUGCACGAAAGCGUGGGGAGCAAACAGGAUUAGAUACCCUGGUAGUCCACGCCCUAAACGAUGUCAACUAGUUGUUGGGGAUUCAUUUCCUUAGUAACGUAGCUAACGCGUGAAGUUGACCGCCUGGGGAGUACGGUCGCAAGAUUAAAACUUAAAUGAAUUGACGGGGUCAUAGCUGUUUCCU
rnacentral:rRNA from 1 species